rnacentral:misc_RNA from 1 species
UUUCCGUAGGUGAACCUGCGGAAGGAUCAUUAUUGGAUUUUGAAACUUCAGGCUGCUGCUGGCUCUCCUCGGAGGGCAUGUGCACGCUUGUUGUCCAUUAUUUCUCCCACUGUGCACAAAUUGUAGACCUUUCAGUAGGCCUAUGUUGUUUUUCACAAUCUCUGAAUGUAAUAGAAUGGUUUUGAAUCUUGGGAAAUACAAUACAACUUUCAGCAACGGAUCUCUUGGCUCUCGCAUCGACGAAGAACGCAGC